GAGAGAUGGCUGAGUGGUCGAAGGCGCACGAUUGGAAAUCGUGUGUAGGCGAAACCUACCAUGGGUUCGAAUCCCAUUCUCUCC
rnacentral:tRNA from 1 species